GGGCCAGACUCCUACGGGAGGCAGCAGUGGGGAAUAUUGGGCAAUGGGCGCAAGCCUGACCCAGCAACGCCGCGUGAAGGAAGAAGGCUUUCGGGUUGUAAACUUCUUUUAAGAGGGAAGAGCAGAAGACGGUACCUCUUGAAUAAGCCACGGCUAACUACGUGCCAGCAGCCGCGGUAAUACGUAGGUGGCAAGCGUUGUCCGGAUUUACUGGGUGUAAAGGGCGUGUAGCCGGGCUGACAAGUCAGAUGUGAAAUUCCGGGGCUCAACCCCGGACCUGCAUUUGAAACUGUUGGUCUUGAGUAUCGGAGAGGCAGGCGGAAUUCCUAGUGUAGCGGUGAAAUGCGUAGAGAUCGGGAGGAACACCAGUGGCGAAGGCGGCCUGCUGGGCUUUAACUGACGCUCAGGCACGAAAGCAUGGGGAGCAAACAGGAUUAGAUACCCUAGUAGAC
rnacentral:rRNA from 1 species